AUUGAACGCUGGCGGCAUGCCUUACACAUGCAAGUCGAACGGCAGCACGGGAGCAAUCCUGGUGGCGAGUGGCGAACGGGUGAGUAAUAUAUCGGAACGUGCCCAGUCGUGGGGAUAACGUAGCGAAAGCUACGCUAAUACCGCAUACGAUCUAUGGAUGAAAGCGGGGGAUCGCAAGACCUCGCGCGAUUGGAGCGGCCGAUAUCAGAUUAGGUAGUUGGUGAGGUAAAGGCUCGCCAAGCCGACGAUCUGUAGCUGGUCUGAGAGGACGACCAGCCACACUGGGACUGAGACACGGCCCAGACUCCUACGGGAGGCAGCAGUGGGGAAUUUUGGACAAUGGGCGCAAGCCUGAUCCAGCAAUGCCGCGUGCAGGAUGAAGGCCUUCGGUUGUAACUAGCUUUUGUACGGUAACGAAACGGUUUACUAUUAAUACUAGGUAGCUCAUGACGGUACGUAA
rnacentral:rRNA from 1 species